AUUGAACGCUGGCGGCAGGCCUAACACAUGCAAGUCGAGCGGAGAGUCGGACGGGUGAGUACUGCCUAGGAAUUUGCCUGGUAGUAGGGGAUAAAGUACGGAAACAGGAGAUAGUACCGCAUACGUUAAAGUGGGUCUCGGUAGGAUUAGCUAGUUGGUGGGGUAACGGCUUACCAAGGCAACGAUCCGUAACUGGUCUGAGAGGAUGAUCAGUCACACUGGAACUGAGACACGGUCCAGAAUCCUACGGGAGGCAGCAGUGGGGAAUAUUGGACAAUGGGCGAAAGCCUGACCCAGCAAUGCCGCGUGUGUGAAGAAGGUCUUCGGAUUGUAAAGCACUUGAAGUUGGGAGGCGUUACCAACAGAAUAAGCAACGGCUAACUUCGUGCCAGCAGCCGCGGUAAUUC
rnacentral:rRNA from 1 species